rnacentral:lncRNA from 1 species
AGGAUACAACAUAUCUAAGGAUUUUUUAAGGGAGAAUUCAAAGUUGCUGGGGUCUCCAAUCUAUUUGUGAAUUGUGAUGUCACAAGUAGUUGGUCCCCGAACCCUCUUAUAUAUUGAUCGAUAUUUCGAUAUUUAAUCGAUUUGAAAUUUAUCCCUUAACAUACUUCACAAGAUGGUGUAUCGUUUGAAUAUACCAAUCUUGAAAUUU